UCAGCUUCUCGGCCUUUUGGCUAAGAUCAAGUGUGAUAUCUGUUCUUAUCAGUUUAAUAUCUAAUCGUCCUCUACCCGAGGACUAAUAUAUUAAUCUGAUUUUUGGAACAUAUGAGGAGACGGAAGAGGGCUUACUCCGUCCGCUCCACCUUGCCAUUGAUGUGCAGUGACUCAGGGCAGGGUGCACAUC